ACCUUCCUGAAAGUGGUGGGGCAGGCAGGGACUGUUCAGUCGUCCAGUUUCUUUGGGACAUCUCUUCAGCGCUGUCCUCCCUGCCCCUGCCGUUAGGACGAGUAUCAAA
rnacentral:miRNA from 1 species